rnacentral:rRNA from 1 species
UACGAAGGGGCUAGCGUUGUUCGGAAUUACUGGGCGUAAAGCGCACGUAGGCGGAUUUGUUUAAGUUAGGGGUGAAAUCCCAGGGCUCAACCCUGGAACUGCCUUUAAUACUGGCAAUCUCGAGUCCGAGAGAGGUGAGUGGAAUUCCGAGUGUAGAGGUGAAAUUCGUAGAUAUUCGGAGGAACACCAGUGGCGAAAGCGGCUCACUGGCCCGGUACUGACGCUGAGGUGCGAAAGCGUGGGGAGCAAACAGG